CCUUGUCGAAAAUUGGCGAUUGGCCAGCAAUCAUCACUGCACGUGGCGAGACAGACUCAAUGGCGAUGACUAGUAAGCUGUAACAUAUACAGACAGCUAUUUCAUGCAAUCUGAGGCCUUCAGAAUGGCAAUGAAUAACAAUAAGCCCGCUCAGCUCAUUUCACGGACUUGGGAAAGCUCGCUAAAGCAAAUUAAGGGAAGACUGUAGAUGAUUGCUAAGGAAUCUUUUUUCUUUACCUCUUUUUUCUCAGAAGAAUUAUAUGCAUGAAAACAGAAGCUAUGGAGUUUGUUUGGACGUUUAGAUGCUAUACAUGGACUUUGUUUCCUUUGUAACACAUGGAAAUCUGAAUUUGUUACGGUAUAAAGAAUAAUACAAGUGGCCUGCUGCGCUAAAUAUAUAUUGCAUGUGUUUGGAUACAAAUGAUGCUUAAUGUGUCAGAAAUCUCAAAGAAUGUACUUACAGAAAGUUAAAAAUUAUAAUAUCUUAUUUAUUGGUGCAUAAGACAAACCUGCAUAAAAGCUCCUAUUUUCUAAAGGCAUUUUGGGGGGGGGGAGUUCAUUCCUUAUCUACUUUAUCCUCUUCCUUAAAAGAAAACUUCAUAUUAUUUUACAAUUUUAAAUACAAUUGAGUUCUUAAAAGCUACUGUACUGUGGCAGAGAAGGAGGGCAAAGCUGUAAUGUCCAGAUAUCCAAAGCAUAUACAAGAUGCAGCUUUAAAGAAGAAGCCGAGGAUUACUGUAAUAUGCAGGGAAUAAACUGUAUACACUACAUACACUUUCACUUGCUAAAAAAACUUGUUUUGUUGCUUAUGCUCACUUGUCUGAUGUAGUCAGCCCAAGCCCAUGAAAUUCCUCAUGGCAAGGAGCACUAGAUUAUGCAUGUCGUUGGCAAACUGCCUUGAGCACCUAACAGGUGACAGAGCUAUUUGGCUCAGUUCUGCUCACAAUUUUGACGGAGAGCACCCUGGGAGACCAAAACACACGAGAGGACUUUUGGCUCGCCGCAUAUUUAGAAUGCUGCCAUGCUGAACCAACACUAUACAUUUACAAACAAUUAUGCCUUUUCCGGGAUUCGAACCUGGCCCCUUCGGCAUGGCAGUCAGUGACGUUAACCACUAUACUGGUUGGGGGGCAAAAAAUAACAUAUUAGCUAACUUAAAAAGAUGCCAAUCAGACAUGUUCCAGUAUUCAAAUAGCUUAUAAGACAGACACAUGUUAUUGAGAUUUUGAUUUUCAUGGAUGAAAUUGAAAUUUAGCACUUUUCAGGGGUAAGGGAAGCAUCUUAAUUGCUGACAAAUAUGG